UGCCGAAACGCACAAUUGUGCGUCUCUCAGAGGUGGCCUCCUGAGACUGAUGAUGGCAGGCUUUG
rnacentral:hammerhead_ribozyme from 1 species